GCUCCCUCUUUCCUCAGCCUGUGACAGGGCUGGGCGUGCUCGUAGCAGGGCACACAGCGGCUUCAAUGCGAGUGCUGCCGGAGCACAGGCCCGCUUCCCCUGGGCUGCGAGAGGACGAGCGAGUUCACAAGGGACUUCAGCUGAUACAAUGUAGGAAUGAAAUACCCCAGCAGCUAGUAUGGAUACUGAGAACAUGAUGUACUUCAGAGCCCUGGCUUUCCGUGCCAAUUCAUCCUCACUGUUAAAACCCCACAUACAGGCAACAGACACUGUCCCCUGAAGCCAACAAUGCCUAUGACAGAAGUGUCAUUGAAAAACACACUGUAAUCUGUGUAUCCACACAGGCUAAAGCCAUCCUCAGUGCUGGCUGAAGUGCUAGUGACUUCUCUACUGUACAUCUUCUACUCUGGGAAACUUUAAACAAAAACCCUCGAGGGAUCAAUGGCCAUCUGGAGUUCCCAUUCUAGGAGAUGAGUGACUUGAGGCAAGUCUUUUUCUCUUCAGGGAAAGACCCAAAAGCACAACAGGCUUCUAAUCAGCCUUCUCUACUUAGCGCCACUUGGGGCAUGUCAGGAAUGCCAGACCAGUAUUGAUGCACCAGCAGGUAUCAGUAAAGAGUUAGGAUUGCCACGACCCUUAAGAACCACCUGUGGUGAUAUCAGGCAUGAAAGGUCAGAGGAUCAGGGAUCGUAUAUGCUAAUUAUAGGUAAAUACAAUUAAGUAUUGUCAGGCAGUAAGUAUUAGAUGGGAGGUUUGCUAAGCAAUUUAAGUACUUUUGCAUAACCUAAUGACAUUGUUAUUCAAUCCAAUAAUUGCCAGCAAACCCAAGCAAUUUAGAAUGCAAUUAAUUUCCCAAUGUCAAUUUUUGCAAAGCUAAAUUCAAAAUAAAUGCACACCCAAAAGCACAUACUGUUCAUUGCACUGAAUGAAGGCUGCAGCUAACAGCACCUAUUGGAGCUAAAUACAACUACCACACUUUGCUCAUUUCCUUAUUCAGCUGGAGUUGACUGACAUCUAUUAGAACAAAACCACUGCAUGCCCUUUUCCCACCCUCUCCU